UACGUAGGGUGCGAGCGUUAAUCGGAAUUACUGGGCGUAAAGCGCGUGUAGGCGGCCCUGCAAGUCGGGUGUGAAAUCCCACGGCUCAACCGUGGAAGUGCACUCGAAACUGCAGGGCUAGAGUCCUGGAGAGGAAGGUGGAAUGCUUGGUGUAGAGGUGAAAUUCGUAGAUAUCAAGCGGAACACCGGUGGCGAAGGCGGCCUUCUGGACAGUGACUGA
rnacentral:rRNA from 1 species